rnacentral:rRNA from 1 species
AGACUGCGAGUGAUAAGAUCCGUAGUCGAAAGGGAAACAGCCCAGACCACCAGCUAAGGUCCCAAAAUAAUUGUUAAGUGGAAAAGGAUGUGGGGUUGCACAGACAACUAGGAUGUUAGCUUAGAAGCAGCUAUUCAUUCAAAGAGUGCGUAAUAGCUCACUAGUCGAGUGACCCUGCGCCGAAAAUGUACCGGGGCUAAAACAAUUUACCGAAGCUGUGGAUACCUUUAUAGGUAUGGUAGGAGAGCGUUCUAUGUGUGAAGAAGGUGUACCGUGAGGAGUGCUGGAACGCAUAGAAGUGAGAAUGCCGGUAUGAGUAGCGAAAGACAGGUGAGAAUCCUGUCCACCGUAAGACUAAGGUUUCCAGGGGAAGGCUCGUCCGCCCUGGGUUAGUCGGGACCUAAGGAGAGACCGAAAGGUGUAUCCGAUGGACAACAGGUUGA